CAGCCAUGCCGCGUGCAGGAUGACAGCCCUAUGGGUUGUAAACUGCUUUUAUACAGGAAGAACUUUUCGCACGUGUGCGGAAUUGACGGUACUGUACGAAUAAGCACCGGCUAACUCCGUGCCAGCAGCCGCGGUAAUACGGAGGGUGCAAGCGUUAUCCGGAUUUAUUGGGUUUAAAGGGUGCGUAGGCGGAGUAAUAAGUCAGUGGUGAAAACCUGCAGCUCAACUGUAGAACUGCCAUUGAUACUGUUAUUCUUGAGUUCGAUUGAGGUANGCGGAAUGUGUAAUGUAGCGGUGAAAUGCUUAGAUAUUACACAGAACACCGAUUGCGUAGGCAGCUUACUAAGUCGAUACUGACGCUGAGGCACGAAAGCGUGGGGAGCGAACAGGAUUANAUACCCUGGUAGUCCACGCCGUAAACUAUGAUCACUAGCUGUUGGCGAUACAUCGUUCANCGGCAAAGCCGAAAGCAUUAAGUGAUCCACCUGGGGCAGUACNCUCGCANNAGUGAANCUCUAAGGAAUUGACGGGGGCCCCCACAAAGCGGGUGGAACAUGUGNNUUUAUUCCAUGAUACGCCAGGGAACCUUNCCUGGGGCUUUAAUGUAAAA
rnacentral:rRNA from 1 species